rnacentral:rRNA from 1 species
UACGUAGGGUGCGAGCGUUAAUCGGAAUUACUGGGCGUAAAGCGUGCGUAGACGGUUACAUAAGUCGGGUGUGAAAGCCCCGGGCUCAACCUGGGAAUUGCAUUCGAGACUGCGUAGCUAGGGUGCGGAAGAGGGAAGCGGAAUUUCCGGUGUAGCGGUGAAAUGCGUAGAUAUCGGAAGGAACACCUGUGGCGAAAGCGGCUCACUGGACCAUUACUGACGCUGAGGCACGAAAGCUAGGGGAGCAAACAGG